UGGGUUUGAAUCUGUCCUAUUGUUAUCAUGUCCAGGGACUUGUUUCUCUUAACGAGCUAGGCUGGCUGAGCUGGCAUCUGUUAAGCUGAAUUAUCUGUGCAGUUUAUAGACCAGCUAUAGGAGUUACAGAAAAUUACACCUGGGUUAGGAUAACAAUAAAGAAUAGAAGGAUCUCUUUUCAUGGUAGUAGGAUGAAUGAAAUUUGUGUUACACUUAAGCGUCUCCACAUAUCUGACACAGAACUUGGAGUGAGGCAGAGGGUGAUUAUAUGAAAAAAGAAGGCUGAAGCACAUUCCAGGUCUGCUCCAGUAGUCCAAAUCACAUCUCUUGGGAGUGGAGAGCCACAGAAAGAUUUGGUCAACACUGCUUCCAUAGUCUUUUGGAAAAUUUUCUUCAGUUUAUUGAAGAGACUUCAGUUGCCUCAAACCUUUUAAUUUUAGCUCAUUUAAAUAUAUCAGCCAGUUUCAAGACUUGAUAAAGAUGAAUGCAAUUAAUCUUAGAGGCCUCAUAAAUGUUAGAGAAAGAGCUUUUAUUUUGAAAAGACAGUAGAGCCAAAUUAAAAUCCUAUCUGGUAACCCUCUGAAAAUACAAAUGUGGGAAUUUCUGACUGUAAUUAAUUUUGUAUGGGGAUUAUAAUGACUUACAUUUACAUACAACAAAGAUUGCUAAAGAACUGGUGCAACAGAA